rnacentral:rRNA from 1 species
GAUGAACGCUGGCGGCGUGCCUAAUACAUGCAAGUCGAGCGAACAGACGAGGAGCUUGCUCCUCUGUCGUUUGCGGCGGACGGGUGUGUAACACGUGGAUACCCUACCUAUAAGACUGGGAUCACUUCGGGACACCGGAUCUUAUACCGGAUAAUAUCUUGAACCGCAUGGUUCCAUAGUGAAAGACGGUUUUGCUGUCACUUAUAGAUGGAUCCGCGCCGCAUUAGCUAGUUGGUAAGGUAACGGCUUACCAAGGCAACCAUGCGUAGCCGACCGGAGAGGGUGAUCGGCCACACGGGAACUGAGACACGGUCCAGACGCCUACGGGAGGCAGCAGUAGGGAAUCUUCCGCAAUGGGCGAAAGCCUGACGGAGCAACGCCGCGUGAGUGAAGAAGGUCUUCGGAUCGUAAAACUCUGUUAUUAGGGAAGAACAAAUGUGUAAGUAACUAUGCACGUCUUGACGGUACCUAAUCAGAAAGCCACGGCUAACUACGUG